rnacentral:rRNA from 1 species
GAUGAACGCUGGCGGCGUGCCUAAUACAUGCAGGUCGAGCGAAUGGAUUAAGAGCUUGCUCUUAUGAAGUUAGCGGCGGACGGGUGAGUAACACGUGGGUAACCUGCCCAUAAGACUGGGAUAACUCCGGGAAACCGGGGCUAAUACCGGAUAACAUUUUGAACCGCAUGGUUCGAAAUUGAAAGGCGGCUUCGGCUGUCACUUAUGGAUGGACCCGCGUCGCAUUAGCUAGUUGGUGAGGUAACGGCUCACCAAGGCAACGAUGCGUAGCCGACCUGAGAGGGUGAUCGGCCACACUGGGACUGAGACACGGCCCAGACUCCUACGGGUGGCAGCAGUAGGGAAUCUUCCGCAAUGGACGAAAGUCUGACGGAGCAACGCCGCGUGAGUGAUGAAGGCUUUCGGGUCGUAAAACUCUGUUGUUAGGGAAGAACAAGUGCUAGUUGAAUAAGCUGGCACCUUGACGGUACCUAACCAGAAAGCCACGGCUAACUACGUGCCAGCCGCCGCCGUAA